rnacentral:rRNA from 1 species
AGUGAACGCUGGCGGCAGGCCUAAUACAUGCAAGUCGAACGGCAGCACAGCAGAGCUUGCUCUGUGGGUGGCGAGUGGCGGACGGGUGAGGAAUACAUGGGAAUCUGCCCAGUCGUGGGGGAUAACGUAGGGAAACUUACGCUAAUACCGCAUGCGCCCUUCGGGGGAAAGCCGGGGACCUUCGGGCCUGGCGCGAUUGGAUGAGCCCAUGUCGGAUUAGCUAGUUGGCGGGGUAAUGGCCCACCAAGGCGACGAUCCGUAGCUGGUCUGAGAGGAUGAUCAGCCACACUGGAACUGAGACACGGUCCAGACUCCUACGGGAGGCAGCAGUAGGGAAUAUUGGACAAUGGGCGCAAGCCUGAUCCAGCCAUGCCGCGUGAGUGAAGAAGGCCCUCGGGUUGUAAAGCUCUUUUGUCCCGGAAAGAAAAGCGCCGGGUUAAUACCCCUGGUGUCCUGACGGUACCGGAAGAAUAAGCACGGCUAACUCGUGCCAGCAGCCGCGGUAA